UUCUAAGCAGCCAUCUUUCUUCAUAACUUUUUUAAUAGAAAUCUUUUCGACACCUCUAGAAAUCUCAACUGUGGCGUUUGGCAUCUUGUUCCUACCCCACUUACGAUGUGUUUUUACACGUAUUACCUGUGCUGUGCAUCAGGAGUGGAGCGGUACAUAUAUUCGUAUUGAACCAAUUUGGUACAAGGGUCACGGUUUUGGUGCACGCAUUUACACAGAAAAUACACUGCAAAGCGGAACUAUUGUUAGAUACGCAUGUUCUUUGGGGACACAUAAUAUGUGACGCGCGUCCUAUUCGCUUUGGACUAAUGUCAAACUAGACGCAAAUUUUAAGCAUUUCUUUGUUUGCGUUGAUUACAAUGCUGGAGUGUGUGUGUGCUCGCACGCGCGGUAGAGAGAGAAAGAUAUAGUGUGUUCACUGUAGCACAAGAGAGAUCGAGACAGAGAAGCAAUUUGUCCUCGAGUGUCACAAAUACAGUUCAGUAAGAGACCUUUACUUCAACUAAAUCACCAACGUUAUACUGUAUGCCACAGCCUGAGAGACAGCAGAAAUUCCCACCUUAGUGCAGUGUGUCAAGGAACUAAUAUCCUCAAUGAACACAGGGAUCGAUACAGCAAGCACAAGCUCAGGGUCCUCCAGCUCAGCCCAAGAGAUGAUUUCUCUGGGCAACAUGGCUGUCCAAGUCAACAAAACCUGCUUUAGGAGAUUGAAUAGGAGCAGAAUGUCCCUGUUCACUCAAGAGUUAGCUGUUUUGUUGUUUGGGAGGGAGGUUCUGGGUUCAUCUAGCCUCACUGGGAAUAGGUCCCAAAAAAAGAAAGGCUGAACCCAGAAAAAAUGAAUGCACUUAUCGACACUGUCAUAUCUGAGUUUCCGGGCACGUCACAGUCCGAGGUUAGAGCAGUAAUACGGCGAAAGUGCAAUAACGAAAGUUUUGUUUCAAAAAAAAAAAACACUGUAAAGGUAAUUUUUUGUUGUUGUUGGGAAAGGAAUGUGAAAGUAAAGAAGAAAUUUGUGUUUUGUUCAUAUAAGAUACGUACAGUAAUCUGUAGUUUAAUCAUUUUAUUAAAGGGUUAGUUCACCCAAAAAUCGAAAAGUUCUUUGUAUUUAGUCACCCGCGUGUUGUUCUAAACCCUUAAGAUUCCAUUAACCAUCGCAUCACAAAAUAUUAUAUUUAUGAUGGAAUCUGAGCGCUGGAUAAGUCUUCCAUUGACUUCCAAGGGGCUUAAACUUGCUCGAUCAGAAAUCGUAUUAAGACAUUGUUUGAAAUUGUCUAAGUGACUCCAGUGGCUCAACCAUCCAUUUAUCAAGCGACGAGAAUAGUUUUUUUUGUGCCAAAAACAAACAAAAAUAACGAAUUUAUUCCAAUAUCCAUUUACUCGUGUUGUGCUUGAAAGUUGUUUACGUAGUGUAUCUGCGCGAGCUUCUGGGUUCUACGUCACCAGGCAUCACACACAUGACCUGCGUUGGCCAAUAGUGAGCCUGUAUGGUGACGUAGAACCCAGAAGCGCUGCGCAGAUAGACUACGUAAACAACUUUGAAGCACAACACUAG
ensembl:lncRNA